rnacentral:lncRNA from 1 species
CGUCUGCGGUGUUACCCACGACUGCCUGGGACCUGGCCAAGGGCUCCACACACCAAGACCAAGGUGAGGGGAGGUGGUGGGUGGGGACCAGCCCUGCCUCUCUUGGAGACCCCGAGGGUAUGGCGCCAGGCCAGCCUGGAGUCGGGUGUGGGGCGGUUAGUGUGAGCAUUACGUCUUCUUUUCCCUAAAGUGGCUGAAAAUGUCCCCGGGGCCAGUCCCUCAGGGCACCCUGCUGGACUCAAUGCAGCAGAAAGAGUUGGGGUGUUUGGCCGGGUGCGGUGGCUCACGUCUGUCAUCCCAGCACUUUGGGAGGCUGAGGCGGGCGGAUCACCUGAGGUCAGGAGUUGGAGACCAGCCUGGUCAACAUGGCGAAACCCCAUCUCUACUAAAAAUACAAACAUUAGCUGGGUGUGGUGGCAGAUGCCGGUAAUCCCAGCUACUCCGGAGGCUGAAGCAGGAGAAUCACUUGAACCCAGGUGGCGGAGGUUGCAGUGAGCUGAGAUCUCACCAUUGCAUUCCAGCCUGGGUAACAAAGUGCGACUCCGUCUCAAAAAAAAAAAAAAAAAAGAGAAAGGGUUGGAGUGUCCCAUCCUCAGGGCAGGGGUCAGAGCUGCAUCCCUGGGGUGCCCUGAGCUUGGGGGUCAUGAUAACCUUCACCCUGCAUGCAGCCCAGGCCCACACCUAGAAGUCUUGUGGCCUUGAGCACACUGCGUUGCCUCUCUGAGCCUCGGUUUCUCCAUCUAUAAAAUGGAGAGGGUAACAGUGAGAGAUUGCUAUUGGCUGGCUUCGUUCAUUGGGCCCUAAAUCAAACAGUGGCUUAAAUACCAGAGGCUUGCUCAAUGGGUGGUGGGCAGGCAGCCGGGCUGGGGCGGCGCCCCCCCCAUCUCCACGGUGUCCCCACCUCUACAGUGCCUCCCCCUCUCCAUGGUGCCCCCCCACCACGGCCUCCAUCCCUGGGGUCCAGGUUUCAUUUGUUCCUCAGCAAAUGCUACAGAGCUUUUGUAGGCCCACCAGCAGGAGUGGGGUUGCCAGGCAGUGAGCUAGGGGGUGCUGGGAGGGCCCGAGGGGAGGCAGGGCGCAUCCUGCAGGGUGCCUGUGAGGACCUGGGCUGAGGGUGGGUUUGAGCAGAGGCUGACAUGGUCUCACCCUCUGGCUGCUGGGUGGGAACAGACCAUGGGGAGGCCAGGACGGAAGUGAGGAGAACAUGACGAUCCCGGAGAGAGAUAACCCGGAUCGUGGUGGAGACACAGGAAGUGGGGAGAAGUGGUCCAAGCUGUGGAUAUCUGAACAUGGACUCAACAGAAUUUCCCGAUAGAUUGGAUGAGGGGUGUGACUGAAAGGGAGAAGUCAAGGAUGGUUCCAUAGCAACCGCAGGAGCUCCAGCCAUUGCAUCUGCAUUCCAGGCAGCAGGAAGGAGAAAGGAGGGAAGGUAAAAGACUACUGAAAAGCUUUCAGCUGGGGCUGGGCAUGGAGGCUCACACCUGUAAUCCCAACACUUUGGGAAGCCGAGGCUGGUGGAUCACUUGAGCCCAGGAGUCUGAGACCAGCCUGGCCAACAUGGCAAAACCCUGUCGCUACAAAAAAUACAAGAAUUAGCCAUGUGCACCUGUGGUCCCAGGUAUGAUCUCACCACUGUACCUCAGCCUGGGUGACAGAGUGAGACCCUGAUUCAGAGAAGGGGGAGGGGAAGAGGAAGGGGAAGGGGAAGGGGGACGGAAGGGGGAAGGGAAGGGGAAGGAGAAAGGGAAAGUGAAGGGGGAGGGGAAGGAGAAAGGGAAGGGGAAGGGGAAGGGGGAGGGGGAGGGGAAGAGGAGUGGAAGGGGAAGGGGGAGAAGGGGAAGGGGAAGGGGGAAGAGAAAGGGAAGGAGGAGGGGGAGGGGGAGGGUCUUUUGGCAAGCCAUGAAGUCGGCCCAGCCCUUCUGCUUAUAUUGCUCAGGUUGUAGUCACAGGACCAUGCCCGGUGCUCGUGAGGAUGGGGAGGUGAUUGCUAGCUGGGAACUGCGCACUCAACAAUGACAGGGAGAUGCCUCUGGGUGGGGAAGGCAGUGCAUGGACGCUGGUCAGCCGGCCACUCCAGGCAGUGGGAAGGUGCUCAGAGGCCCGAGGAGUCAACUCUGGUGGGCGCUGGCUGUGCAGCCGGUGCUGGUGGCCUGAACACGGCAGAGGGCCAGGCCGGGCCUCACUCAAAGGAAGCAGGGAGACAGGAGCGGGGCUGUGGGCUUCUCUCGAGAGCUGCCAGGCAGCCAGGCAGGCUGGGAAUGACAUUUGCCAUGCUGUGCCCCCGGCUCUGGCACUGGGCGGCUCCUGAGGCCCAGGGAGGAGCGUGACCUGCCCACGGGUCCACCAUCAUCGAAUGCGAGUCAGAGUCAGACCAAUGCUGUGGCUCCAGGACAAUGCCGUGUCCCCUCCUGGGGCUCAAAAAAGCAUGACAGGGAUUUGGGGGACAGGGGUGUUCACUUCUGCCCUCCAACAGGCUGAGGGGGAGGGUCUGGUUUCUCUGCUCACCUGUGCUGAGACGGUGCUGGGGAGAGGCAGGCGGGAGCCCCAGCCCCCUCCAAGUGUUUGCCAGCCCAGGCUCUGUCCUGUCCAGGCAUGUCCUGUCCACCUGCCUCCCUCUAGGGACCGUGGGGGCAGGCCUGGAGCACUGAGCUCAGGGCCCCGAGCCGUCUAGAGGGACAGCUUCCUCACACCAUGCACCUGGGCUGAGCUCAAGUCGCUGCAGCCCCUGACCCCCAACUCAGAUAUCCCUUUGCAGCCCACCUACUACCCAAGAAGCUGCUGUGUAGGGACAGAGCCCACCAGGGCACUGGGGACACGUGGCACAGGCCAGAGAGCUCCUGAGGCCUGGGAGGCUGCCAUGUUGGGUCCCAGAUGGACACACCCCAGUACGCCCAGUCUCAGGGCCUGAGCCACCCACUGGUUCUAGAAUUCUCUCAGGAGAAGAGAGCCCCUCACGGCCCCCUUCAUCACAGGCUGCGCGGCCUCAGCCUGGCCAGCCCCGAGACCCUUCUAGCUUGCGGAUCCCCCUCCUGCUCCCCCGACCCUGACUCUCCCAGAGUGGACUGGCCAGGUCUGGGUCUGGUCUGCGGGCAGGAGCCCUGCCCAGGCGGCCCCCAGGGCCGGCCCUCCUCUCCCCGACUCCAUGCACGUCUAUAAACGCCCUGCACAACCCAGGGCCUUUGCCCGUGCAUCCUCUGCCCGGGCGCCCUCUACACCAUCUGCUGAACCCGGGUGUGCUCUCUGGGCCCCUCUGCAGGUGCCUCCUCUGCUCCUUUGGGAAAGCCCCACCUGUCUUGAGGUCCCCCACACCUGUGCUUCCCAGCACCUCGGAGACCCCAGAACCACUGAACAAAGAACACUGGGGUCCUGGGCUGCCACAUGGAGGACCCCAGGGUGGCAGGCUCACAACAGCACAGGUGUCCUCCUACAGCUCCCAGGGCCGGGAGCCUGAAACCAAGGUGUCCACAGGGCCCUGCUGCCCCCAGAGGCUCUGGGCAGAGCCCUUCCGCCUUUCCAGCUCCCCCUGGUUCCCGUGCUCCUCGGCCUGUGGCCCCAUCACUCUGGCCUCUGCCUUCAUCUCAUGCCGAGAUCCCUGAAGCGGGCCCAGCUCCGUUCACUGCUCCCCCGGCCUCCUGCUGUUUCCCACACGCAGCCAUGGUACAGGGCAGCUCAUCCCACCACCUCCCCAACCGCAGCCUCCAGGGAUGUACACCCUGCCUCAGGGGCUGUGCCUGGGCCCUGGCUGGUGGAGGGCACAGCCGUCAGGGAAGGCCCUCAGCUGCAGGAUGCCGUGCCUCAGAGACCAACCAGGCCCUCGAAGGCACUGUGGCCGGCCCAGAUGUCAGCAGCUCCAGCAAUUAGGCUGGGACAGAUGGUGCCUGGUGACACAAGGGGACUGUGGGGGCCACAGGGGACCCUGCUCACCUGGACCUACCGUGGAGGCCAGGGAGGGAGAUGGACUCGAAGGGCGGAAGGGCCCAGAGAAGGCACAUUUGCAGAGCAGCGGCCGCAUUUCCAGAGCUCGGGAGCCCAACAGGAAUCCCGUCUGGCCAUGGGACCACCGCCCUUGGGGCUGGGGGAUGCCGCAGGGGACGGCAGAGGGCAGACAGGCCAGGAAAAGGGGAGGGCAGAGGGCAGACAGGCCAGGAAGAGCGCCUGCAAGUGCCCAAGGAAGGGACCAAACCCAGGCCCCUGGACCAGAGCGGCCGCCUGGUGGGGCAGGCUGGAAGGGGCCAAGGCCAGCGCCAAGGGGGAGCAGGUGAGGGACCCUGGUGGGCAUCUGUGGGAACAAGGCCACGUUUCUCCCUGCGCACGCUUUAAUCAAGGACAUUCCUGUGGUUCUCCAAAAGUGUCGCACACUACAUGGGUGUCGUGAGCUGGGCUCCGUGAGAGUGUGCGGGUGGCUGGGGGCAGCAAGGGAGCAGCAAGGCCUCAAACCCGGGCGGCGGCCUGGCCUGCGCGCCAGGAUGUGCGGUGUGAGUUUCCCGAGCUGCAGGAACAAGGUCCACAGACUGGGGAGCUUCACACAACAGAAACUGCCUCGCAGUUCCCGAGGCCAGAGCCCAUCGGGGUGGCUCCCUGAGGCCGUGAGCCCGGACUGUCCUGGGCCGCCCCCUCUUCCACAGGCUGAGAUCAUCCUUGGCGUCUGUUGGCCUGCGGCCGCCUCGCCCAACCUCUGCCCUCAUGUCCACACGGGUCCUCCCUGUGUGCAUGUUGGUGUCUGGAUCUGCCCUUUCUACUGUGGGGCAACUGUCGUCGAGGAUAGGGCCCACCACACAACACGGCCUCAUCGUAACUAAGUAUAGUCAGCAGUGAUCCUAUUUCCCAAUAAGGUCCCAUUCUGAGGUCCUGGACUUCAACAUGUGAAUUUUGGGGGCCACAACUCUACCCUGGCAUGCAGAGAGAGAAGGGGGGCGUGGAGUCCCCCUGGGGGGAAGUCCCUUGGGAAGUCACAGGCCCCCUUGGUGGGGCAAUUGGGACGUGGGUGUGAGGGUCCUGGGUACAGGGAGCCUGCCUACCAAGGCUCUGCCGACAGCUAUUUCUAAAUUCCUCGUGGAAAAUACCCUGUGGCCCUCCUCAUCUGGAGCGAGCGACGGGCUGGAGGGUGUCUGAGCCAGGCUGGUGCCGGGGAGCAGAUGUGGGUGGCCCAACCCAGCCCCUUGUUCUUGUUCCCCACCUCCCAGGAAAGGGGGAGGGUGGGCGGAGCCGGCCCUCCUGGGCUCUCUCCUUGGGUCCCGGAGCCACCUGGGGAGGGGAGGCUCAACCCCCUACCUUGGCCAGCUGGCUGCAGGUCUCUCAGGGCUGGCACAGAACAGCUGGGCUUUGCCAGGUGUCCCCCAUCCUGAUGCACGGCCCGGUGGUGCGGUCUCCAGGCCUCCCAGGAUUCUCAGCUGCGCCGUCUCCCCAGUCCCCAAACCCCAGUGGUGGCCGCCAGGGGACUGGACCGUCAGUCUGUGGAGCUGGGGCUGCAGCUGGUGGUGUUUCCAACAAGGGUCUUUUGGCUGCCUGGCUCCAGGGAGAGGCCUCUGGAGGCAAGGGGUAACCUACCGGGAAAGCCUCAAAGGCACCCCCAUCCCCGCCCCGCACAGACUCCACCGGCCCCCCAUGGUUCCUCCAGGCCCUCUUCAGUCAUGACAGGCAGUGCCUGGGUGCCCGGCCUGCUCAGCACACCCUGGGCCUCAGCCCCACCCAAGCCUUGGCCUAGCAUGGGAGCCACCACGGGAACACACACACGGGCUGGAGGGUGUCUGAGCCAGGCUGGUGCCGGGGAGCAGAUGCGUCAGAUGGAGGAGAAAAGCCCUGGGGCAGCGGCUUCUGGAGCUCUGGCCAAGGAUGGGCUCUGAGCACACCCCUGCCCGGCCCAGAGCACCAGGCCGGGGCAGGGUCAGGAACAGCUUGAAGCCCCCUGCAAAGUCUGUCCCUCCUCCUGGAGCCUCAGCUGCCCCUCCAACACAGCCCUCUGUGGGAGCCUAGAUGGCCCCCGUGUGGCCAUGAGACAUGGGCGGGCGCUGGUGGAUUCCUCUGUGUCAGGUGACAUGGUGGCACCCCGGCCGCAGGCUGUGCCCCGGCUGUGGCGUUAAGAAGGGCUAUGGAUCUAAAUAAAAUCCAGUCUCUUUGCUGGACCUGUUGUCAGUUUUAUGGCUCUGGGGUUAUAGAAACACGGGGAAGAGACCCCCAGGAGGCAGGGUGGGCUGGACGAGAGGCCACCAGGUAGGGCCCUCCCCUCCCUCCAUGGGAUACCACCCUGGGUGAUUCUAAAGGUGGGGAGUCCGCUGAGAAAGGGAGAUGGGAACCAGAGUUCCUAGACAAUUCGGCACCCGAGCCCAGGUGAACUUUUAACUCCUGCCUGCUGGGGUGGUGAAAGCCCAGGCCCCCC